GUGGUAUAGCCAAGCGGUAAGGCAAGGGAUUGCAAAUCCUUUAUUCCCCAGUUCGAAUCUGGGUACCACCU
rnacentral:tRNA from 1 species